GAUCUCAUUUCUCUGGUUGCAGCUGCCUUUAGGCACCCAUUUCAGCGAGCUGCUCUGUUCUGCUUAGCUGUAGAUGCUUCCCAAAUUCCCUCUUUGGUGAAACAGGCAUUUGUGCAGGUUCCCCAUAAAAAUGACUGAUUUGGGUUUUACCAGGAGCUCUGGCACUUCUCCACUGCGAGAAAGCAUUGCAUUUACAGAGAGGUUUCUCAAGAUGGGAAUAGUGAAACAAACAUUUCCAAUGUCCUGCAGAACCCUCUGUCAGCCUCCCUGGGCAGGAAUUUCAGCCAUUCUGCAAUGAGAGCCCCUGAAAGGACCCUGCUGCCCUGUGGGACUGCCCAGCUCCCAGCCCUGCUGCUGGGGAAGGUCCCACAGCCAGCAGUAAAUGCCACCAUGAUUGCAAUGAGCCUGGUGAGGUGUGAAAUGAAGAUUAAUCCUUCCCCAGGCCAAGAACUGCCCCUGCCUGAGACACCUGGAGCUCCACACUGCAUUUCCAGGUGUGCUGUGACUUACCUGGUGCUGCUGUGGGAUAUUCAUUGGAAUAUUCAUUGGGAUAUUCAGUGCUGCUUUUUGGACAAACUUCCUGAUACAGUGUUUAUUAGAACCAGUAUUUGCGAGAAGAAACCUGGCUGUGCUCAUUUCUUGCUGAGGUUUCUCUUCCUGCCCUUGUCUCCAGCUCCAGUCCCUCUCUGCAGAGACCUGCCUGACUGCACGGCUGGGAAACAGCCCCAGGGAUGGCUCAGCUCAGGAGUGAUCACAGACAGACACUUGGCACUUCCACCCAAUUCCACACUGCUGCAAAGGGAACAGGGGAAAACCUCAGCUUGUGGCCUCUGACAGAGAGCUGACAGCCUGUCAUGCAGCACGAGCCACUGGGUGCUGCCUCAGCUCUGCCAUCUGCCGUGGUUGCCCUCUUCCCUGCCUACUCCCCGUGCAAGAUUUGGGUGUUUUCUCCACCCUGCUGAGCUUCCUGCACAGCCCAUGCCCUCGUGCCAUGCUGGGGCAGCAUCAGGAGGCUGCUGGGGAGCCCUGACCUGGACCAG
rnacentral:lncRNA from 1 species